GUUUUUACUUGCUUUGCCCCAUCUACAAGCCUUAGGAGCCUUUACAAGGGAGCUGCUUCUAGAUGAAAUGGAAUGUAUGGGUGACAGGAACAGCUGGGCAGGGUGAAAAAGUCCCAAUGCUGACUGCAGAAAAGGAAAGCUGGAGAGAAAGAGGAUUCGCAUGGAUCUUCACCUGUGCACUGCAAAACUAGUCAACAUUUUCAACGUGAAUAUAGGAGAUAUGCGAAGAACAUGCCAUGCCAUGUCUCCUUCGACAGAAUUUAUAUUUCUGUUAGUGGAAAUGGGGCAGGAAAAGCAACCAGGUGAUUCCCUCAAGCAAAGAAAUCACUGCCCAGUCUCCAUCCACUGAUAUGCACAAACAGCGGGUCACAUCUAUACACAUCAACCCAUGCUGAUGACUACCAUGACAGGCAAAUUCAACAUGAAAAUCAGCAAGAAAAAAAUGACCUUGCUGCAUUUUAAGCCGGUAAUGCGUGCAUAGCCUUAAUACACUGGAUGUUACACAAUGGUUAAUUCUGUGUUUCAUGUAUGUGGUA